GAUGAACGCUGGCGGCGUGCCUAAUACAUGCCAGUCGAGCGAACAGACGAGGAGCUUGCUCCUCUGACGUUAGCGGCGGACGGGUGAGUAACACGUGGAUAACCUACCUAUAAGACUGGGAUAACUUCGGGAAACCGGAGCUAAUACCGGAUAAUAUAUUGAACCGCAUGGUUCAAUAGUGAAAGACGGUUUUGCUGUCACUUAUAGAUGGAUCCGCGCCGCAUUAGCUAGUUGGUAAGGUAACGGCUUACCAAGGCAACGAUGCGUAGCCGACCUGAGAGGGUGAUCGGCCACACUGGAACUGAGACACGGUCCAGACUCCUACGGGAGGCAGCAGUAGGGAAUCUUCCGCAAUGGGCGAAAGCCUGACGGAGCAACGCCGCGUGAGUGAUGAAGGUCUUCGGAUCGUAAAACUCUGUUAUUAGGGUAGAACAAAUGUGUAAGUAACUAUGCACGUCUUGACGGUACCUAAUCAGAAAGCCACGGCUAACUACGUG
rnacentral:rRNA from 1 species